GCCGGGCUGGUCUAGGUAUAGCAUCUAUACUGUGAAACUGCGAAUGGCUCAUUAAAUCAGUUAUCGUUUAUUUGAUAGUACCUUACUACUUGGAUAACCGUGGUAAUUCUAGAGCUAAUACAUGCUAAAAACCCCGACUUCGGAAGGGGUGUAUUUAUUAGAUAAAAAACCAAUGCCCUUCGGGGCUCCUUGGUGAAUCAUGAUAACUUAACGAAUCGCAUGGCCUUGCGCCGGCGAUGGUUCAUUCAAAUUUCUGCCCUAUCAACUUUCGAUUGUAGGAUAGUGGCCUACAAUGGUUUCAACGGGUAACGGGGAAUUAGGGUUCUAUUCCGGAGAGGGAGCCUGAGAAACGGCUACCACAUCCAAGGAAGGCAGCAGGCGCGCAAAUUACCCAAUCCCGAUACGGGGAGGUAGUGACAAUAAAUACUGAUACAGGGCUCUUUUGGGUCUUGUAAUUGGAAUGAGUACAAUUUAAAUACCUUAACGAGGAACAAUUGGAGGGCAAGUCUGGUGCCAGCAGCCGCGGUAAUUCCAGCUCCAAUAGCGUAUAUUAAAGUUGUUGCAGUUAAAAAGCUCGUAGUUGAACCUUGGGCCUGGCUGGCCGGUCUGCCUCACCGCAUGUACUGGUUCGGCCGGGUCUUUCCUCCUGGGGAUCCGCAUGCCCUUCACUGGGUGUGUUGGGGAACCAGGACUUUUACUUUGAAAAAAUUAGAGUGUUCAAAGCAGGCCUUUGCUCGAAUACAUUAGCAUGGAAUAAUAGAAUAGGACGUGCGGUCCUAUUUUGUUGGUUUCUAGGACCGCCGUAAUGAUUAAUAGGGAUAGUCGGGGGCAUCAGUAUUCAGUUGUCAGAGGUGAAAUUCUUGGAUUUACUGAAGACUAACUACUGCGAAAGCAUUUGCCAAGGGAUGUUUUCAUUAAUCAGUGAACGAAAGUUAGGGGAUCGAAGACGAUCAGAUACCGUCGUAGUCUUAAACCGUAAACUAUGCCGACUAGGGAUCGGGCGAUGUUAUUCUUUUUGACUCGCUCGGCACCUUACGAGAAAUCAAAGUCUUUUGGGGUUCUGGGGGGGGAGUUAUGGUCGGCAAGGGCUG
rnacentral:rRNA from 1 species